ACCCCACUCGCUUCCAUCUCCGCGGUCUCCCCGGUCUCCCCUCCCACCCCCUACCCCUCCUCCGCCAGCCGCGUCCUCCCGGGCUCGGUGAGGAACUGUUCCUGGAGGAGCCGCGGGACGCCGAAACCAGCCAAUGGGAAGAGGCGAGACGCGGAGAUUGGCACGGUGGAUGGGAAGGUUCUCAGACUGUGCUUCCCAGACCAGCAGCAUUAGCAUCACCUGGGAACUUUUUAGAAAUGAAAAUGCUGGGGCCUCACCCUGGACCUACUCAAAAAGAAACUUCGACGUGGGGACCCACAAUUUGGUUUUGACAAGGAGGUCAUCUCGAAUGUGA
rnacentral:lncRNA from 1 species